AGAAUUUUAGGGUCUCAGAUGACUUUGGGUUUCAGAUGAUUUAUGGUUCCGAGUUCAAGCCGAAGCUUUGAUCCUGUGCUCCGAGAAACAUAGCCAACCAGUCUUGUCUGCAUCAUUUGCAUCAUAGCAUGUUUUAUUUUCAAAAAAAAUAUGCAAUAAAAAAUUAAGAAAAGAAAAGAAAAAAGAAGAGAAAAAGAAAAAGCUAAUCUCUGCAUGCAUAUCAUUUCUCAGGUUCAUUCAGGGGUCUAUUCAUUGAUAGAGAUGGCAUCCGUUCCCGAGUUGAAGCGGAAGACUUGUUCCUACAGUUUCCACCGUGAGCCU
rnacentral:lncRNA from 1 species